ACUCCUACGGGAGGCCGCAGUGGGGGAUAUUGCGCAAUGGGGGCAACCCUGACGCAGCAACGCCGCGUGAAGGAUGAAGGUUUUCGGAUUGUAAACUUCUUUUAUUAAGGACGAAAAUGACGGUAC
rnacentral:rRNA from 1 species